CCUACGGUGUGCUGCAGUGAGGAAUAUUGGUCAAUGGGCGCGAGCCUGAACCAGCCAAGUCGCGUGAGGGAGGACGGCCCUACGGGUUGUAAACCUCUUUUGCCGGGGAGCAACGGGCGCCACGUGUGGCGCCACUGAGAGUACCCGGAGAAAAAGCAUCGGCUAACUCCGUGCCAGCAGCCGCGGUAAUACGGAGGAUGCGAGCGUUAUCGGAAUUACUGGGCGUAAAGGGUGUGCAGGCGGCUGAGUAAGACAGAUGUGAAAUCCCCGGGCUUAACCUGGGAACCGCAGAUGUGACUGCUUGGCUAGAGUGCGUCAGAGGGAGGUGGAAUUCCACGUGUAGCAGUGAAAUGCGUAGAUAUGUGGAAGAACACCGAUGGCGAAGGCAGCCUCCUGGGACGCAACUGACGCUCAUACACGAAAGCGUGGGGAGCAAACAGGAUUAGAUACCCGUGUAGUC
rnacentral:rRNA from 1 species